GAUGGGAGUAGCGAUGUUGCUCAGACCUUUGAGAAUAUGUGGGACUUAACACCGGAUACAGAUUUGCUACUGGAGCUUCCUGAAGAAUAUAAUUUCGAAGCUGCUAUUGCUGACUUGAUUGAUAAUGCUUUGCAAGCUGUGUGGUUCAACGGGAAAAAUAGUCGGAAGAUAGUCAG